UACGAAGGGGCUAGCGUUGUUCGGAAUUACUGGGCGUAAAGCGCACGUAGGCGGAUUGUUUAGUGAGGGGUGAAAUCCCAGGGCUCAACCCUGGAACUGCCUCUCAUACUGGCAAUCUCGAGUUCGAGAGAGGUGAGUGGAAUUCCGAGUGUAGAGGUGAAAUUCGUAGAUAUUCGGAGGAACACCAGUGGCGAAGGCGGCUCACUGGCUCGAUACUGACGCUGAGGUGCGAAAGCGUGGGGAGCAAACAGGAUUAGAUACCCGCGUA
rnacentral:rRNA from 1 species